UUAUUUUGGCUGGGCACAGUGAACUUUAUUGAUGGUGCACGACAAAGUAGGGCUCCCUAUACCUCUCCCCUUCUUCAGGGGGUCUGGGAUGGAAACAGUGGUCAGGAGAUUCUCAGUGUGUGGCUCAGGAGAUUUUCACAACAGAGGCAAGCACAGG